rnacentral:lncRNA from 1 species
AUCCACCUGGGCCACCCCUACCUUCUCUCGAAUAACUUCAUUCUUAAUCUUAUCUAACCUGGUGUGCCCGCACAUCCACCUGAGCAUCCUCAUCUCCGCAACCUUCAUUCUCUGAACAUGAGAGUUCUUAACGGUCCAGCACUCCACCCCAUACAACAUCGCAGGUCUAACCACAGCUCAAUAGAAUUUCCCCUUGAGUUUAUGUGGAACUUUCUUGUCACACA